CACCACAGCAUCAGUUGGUUGACCUCUCAGGUUUAAAUUUCCACUGCAAAUGGAAGAGCUGUUUUCUUCGGCGAAGCCUCAGGUGUCAUUUUGGGUAGAGAGACAGAUAGAGGUCAUACUGCGCUUGCUUCCUCGCUCACUCUACAGUUUCUUCCUCAUGGCUUCCAAGCCCAAAUCUCACCGUCUCCGUCAAUGGACUGCGUUACAGAGCAAGGACAAUGGGCACAGAGUCUGCGUUCAAAUAUGCCUUUGGAAAAUAUGCAGGAUAUCUCAAUGGCCUUUUAAAUUUCUUUCUUCUUCAUUUUCUUUCUUCUUCUUCUUUAUUAUCGUUGUCACCACUGCACUCUUUAAUUGGGUUUGAACUUAUGAUUAUGGUGUGAUUACAAGUGAAUUCCUGUCCAUAUUAUUUGUAGAGAAUGGAAUGGAACGCCGCAUUGGGAAAAUUAUAGUCUGUCUCUAAGCUUUAGAAAUGAAACUGAAGGUUUGAAGCCACAGGGAAGCUUGGAAGCAUAGCUUAGUCGAAUAAAUGGGUGGAUACACUCAAUGUUAUUUCAUAAUUCUAUAGAAAAAAAAAAAGAAGAAAAUUAUACAAAAUUAUUUUGAUAAUUUUGUAUAUAAAAAAAGUACACUUUGGAUUCUUCCUCGCUCACGAACACAUACCCAAGAAUGGUUGGAGGGUAAAUACUAGAGAAUUCGUUAAAUUGAAUUGUAUUAAAUGUUAAUGUGUUUUUUUUUUUUUUGCAAAAGUUGUAGAAAGUAGUUAUUUUUAGAUUUGUUUCCUCAUUUUGUUAUUUACCAAUGUCAAAUAUGCUUUUUUAGAGAAAGCUCAUUGGUCAUUACUUGAUUUUGAAAUUUAUAAGAGUAAUUUUGACCUUAAUGGUGGAAGUGAAAAUGUGAGCCAUGGGCAGAGGAUUGAAAUUUUAACCUUUAAGCCUUGCUAUUUGACCAAUUCCAACUUCAAGAGCAACAGCAAUGGGAGCAAAUGUUAUUGUAGCGGCUCUUGGGGAAAUAUACUGAUUAAUGAUUUUGGUGAGCUGAAUUUGCUUUUUUGGCGUAGCCAGCUGUGACCCUACAGUGAAUGACAAGCAGGAAAGAGUGGUAAAAGCUGGCCGUGAUGUCACCAUGAACAGCAAAAAGUAAAUAUAACAUCGAAGAAGUUCUUGAGAACGCAGAAAUGGAUUUAGCAGCUGUGACUGAUCAGUAUAUGUCCCAAUUAAUCAAAGAAUUGCGAGGGGCUGAUUUUCAGAGGUAAAGACGAGCGUACUUCCUGGGGUACAAGAAUAUGUUGAAGCUGCAACAUUUUGUAAAUUCUGCUGAACAGGGGCUCUUUUGAAUCUGCAUGAGAUAAAUGUUGGUCUGCUACCACUUAGUGAUCCAUCUCUUGAGCCUUUGCUGUUAAACAUCCUUGGAAUAUCUUUUGGGGGUAAUUGGCUGAGUUUCAUGCUGAUUUAUGACAGCUUUCUUUUGUAAAAUGAAAUUGUGAGCCAGGAUUUUCUGUUUUAUUUAUCUUAGAAUAUGUAUGGAACUACAAUUCAUAUUAUACAUACAUAAAAGGGUAAUGAACCAACUGGUGGA